AUGAAGGUAAACUACGCUACCAGCAACAACAUGAGUUUGCGUUCUCAUCUCAAGCGCCUCAACUUGUUGUACAAUCGCACUGCUCACAACCUCGUCCUUCCAAUUGUUACCACAACCACACUCGGAGCUAGCGCCCUAAAAAAAGUUGCACCAUGGCUUACCGCUGCGCUCGGCAUUGUGCCCCAACCUAGUGUUAUUUGUCCUAUCCAUAUACUCUUUGUCGUUGUUCUACUGAUCAUCAUGGCUACCGUCUACCUUUCACUCCAUCGUAGAGCUGUAUACCUUGUUGACUAUGCUUGCUUUCGGCCAAGCUCCAACUUAAGAUUAACAAAGGCAACAUUCCUCGAGCAUGCGCGUCUCUCGCCUUUGUUCGAUGAUUCUACAGUCAACUUCAUUGCUACCAUUCUUGAGCGCUCGGGCAUGAGCGAUCAUACAUGUGCCCCACCUGUGCAUCAUUAUAUACAUCCGUAUUGUGGACUUGAUGAAGCACGCGCCGAAGUAGAGUUGGUCGUCUUCUCUGUCAUUGAUGACCUUAUGGCUAAGACACACAUCAACUGCGGUGCGAUUGGUGCUCUUAUCACGAACUGCAGUGCAUUUAGCCCGGUACCAUCCAUGGCUGACAUGAUUGUGAACAGAUACAAGUUGCGAGGUGAUCUUCGUGUCAUCAACCUCUCUGGGAUGGCGUGCUCUGCAGCGGUGACCUCAGUGGGGCUCGCAAGCAACAUGUUGCAGGUCAUGCCUUGGGGGUCGCAUGUGUUGGUGGUGUCGACGGAGACCAUUGGGCCAUCUUACUAUGGAGGAAAUAAGCGCUCCAUGCAGUUGGUUAACAUCUUGUUCCGCAUAGGCGGUGCUGCAAAGUUGUUGUCGACUUCCAGGUCCAUGGCUCGGUUUCGCCUUGGGCAUUUCACGCGGACGAUCACUGCGGCAAACAACGCUGCUUACCAGUGUGUUUAUCAAGAGGAAGAUGACAAGGGCAACCUAGGGAUUGCUCUCUCGAAAGAUCUUAUGGAUGUCGCUAAGGAUGCACUCGAGGCCAAUAUAAUGACAACCGGGCCUCUUGUCCUACCGGCAUCAGAGCUUCUCAAGAUUUUGUUCUUCUAUGUGGCGAAAAAGGUGCUCCGUUGGAGGACGAUCAGGCCAUACAUCCCCAACUUUUCUGUUGCAUUUGAGCAUUUCUGCAUCCAUGUCGGUGGACCAGCAGUUAUCACCUCAGUACAACAUGGUCUUAAUCUAUCAGACAGGCAUGUUGAGCCAUCAAAGAUGACUCUGCAUCGUUUUGGAAACCAGUCGACCUCAUCGGUGUGGUAUGAGUUAUCAUACAUCGAGGCCAAAGGCUGGAUGAAAAAGGGAAACAGGGUGUGGAUGAUCGGAUUCGGUGCAGGGUACGAGUGCAACACUGUUGGGUGGGUGUGUAUACAACCAUCUUCAGGCAUGGAUGGACCCUGGGUUAGCUGCAUCCAUCGUUACCCGGUGGACGUCUCCAAGAAUGGUUAA
rnacentral:rRNA from 1 species